rnacentral:lncRNA from 1 species
UGGUUUGACAAUGAAUUAAGGAGAGAAAUUCGUAGAAGAGACCGAUUUCGUAAAAAAGCCUUAAAAACUAAAAAAGAUUGUGAUAUCAAUAAAUACAAAAAGCAGAGGAACAGAGUAAAUAAUAUGAAAAAAGCUGCAAAAGAAAAAUUUGAAAGAAGUUUGGAUAAUCUUAUCUUAAAUAACGUGGCUAACCCUAAAACUUAUUGGAAAAUAAUGAAAAUGCUUAUAAAAUCAAAUAAAGGUUCUGGUGAUUUACCCCCACUUAAUAAUAUUAUUCACGAUGAAAGCAUGGAAGAUGUAGUGUACGGAGACGACGAGAAAUGUAAUCUGCUAAAUAAAUAUUUUAGUCUGAUUUCUUCCCUAGAGGAGGAAGGUGUUCCCAUACCCGAAAUUAAGCCAAGAACAAAUAUUUUUUUAAAAGAUUUAGUAAUUGAAAUAGAUGAAAUAGUCGAUAUAAUUAAAACUUUAGAUCCUAAUAAGGCAUCUGGUCCAGAUGUCAUAAGCCAUAAAAUGCUGAAAAUGUGUCCUGAAAAAAUAGCAAUUCCCUUAAAAAUAAUAUUUAAUAAAUCCCUACAACAAUGUAAAUUUCCCACCAGCUGGAAGAUUGCUAAUGUAAUAGCAUUUUUUAAAAAGGGAGAUAGUUCGUUACCAUCUAACUAUAGGCCA